rnacentral:rRNA from 1 species
UAUACGACCGUACCGCAAACCGACACUGGUGCGCGAGAUGAGUAUUCUAAGGCGCUUGAGAGAACUCAGGAGAAGGAACUCGGCAAAUUGACACCGUAACUUCGGAAGAAGGUGUGCCCUAUUAGUGUGUAGUGAACAACGAAGCAUGAAUGGGUUGCAAAAAAUCGGUGGCUGCGACUGUUUAUUAAAAACACAGCACUCUGCAAACACGAAAGUGGACGUAUAGGGUGUGACGCCUGCCCGGUGCUGGAAGAUUAAAUGAUGGGGUGCAAGCUCUUGAUUGAAGUCCCAGUAAACGGCGGCCGUAACAAUAACGGUCCUAAGGUAGCGAAAUUCCUUGUCGGGUAAGUUCCGACCUGCACGAAUGGCGUAACGAUGGCCACACUGUCUCCUCCUGAGACUCAGCGAAGUUGAAAUGUUUGUGAUGAUGCAAUCUCCCCGCGGAAAGACGGAAAGACCCCAUGAACCUUUACUGUAGCUUUGUAUUGGACUUUGAACAGAUCUGUGUAGGAUAGGUGGGAGGCUUUGAAGCAGGGUCGCUAGAUCUUGUGGAGCCAACGUUGAAAUACCACCCUGGUGUGUUUGAGGUUCUAACCUAGGUCCAUUAUCUGGAUCGGGGACAGUGCAUGGUAGGCAGUUUGACUGGGGCGGUCUCCUCCCAAAGCGUAACGGAGGAGUUCGAAGGUACGCUAGUUACGGUCGGACAUCGUGACGAUAGUGCAAUGGCAUAAGCGUGCUUAACUGCGAGACUGACAAGUCGAGCAGAUGCGAAAGCAGGACAUAGUGAUCCGGUGGUUCUGUAUGGAAGGGCCAUCGCUCAACGGAUAAAAGGUACUCUGGGGAUAACAGGCUGAUACCGCCCAAGAGUUCAUAUCGACGGCGGUGUUUGGCACCUCGAUGUCGGCUCAUCUCAUCCUGGGGCUGUAGCCGGUCCCAAGGGUAUGGCUGUUCGCCAUUUAAAGAGGUACGUGAGCUGGGUUUAAAACGUCGUGAGACAGUUUGGUCCCUAUCUUCCGUGGGCGCUGCAGAUUUGAGGAAGCCUGCUCCUAGUACGAGAGGACCGGAGUGGACACACCUCUGGUGUAUCGGUUGUCACGCCAGUGGCAUUGCCGAGUAGCUAAGUGUGGAAGAGAUAACCGCUGAAAGCAUCUAAGCGGGAAACUCGUUUCAAGAUGAGAUCUGCCGGGGCCUUGAGCCCCCUAAAGAGUCGUUCAAGACCAGGACGUUGAUAGGUCUGGUGUGGAAGCGAAAA